GCCCCUGUGGCCCAACCGGUAGAGGCAGGCGGCUUAAACCCGCUACAGUGUGGGUUCGAACCCCACCAGGGGCA
rnacentral:tRNA from 1 species